rnacentral:rRNA from 1 species
AUGCCUAACCAAGAUAAUGUUCAGCAAGUUGAAAAGGUAAAGAAGAAGAGAAAGGGGAGCACAUGUUGCUAUAUUUGCCGUAAGAAGGGACACGUAGCUUCAUCAUGUACCAACGGUAAUAUAUCUAAGCCUCCAAUUAUCAAUGAUCAUUAUUCACUUAGGAAGGAUAUUGAUGGCAAUAUGUUUGCCAAGUAUGUUGGUGCUCAAAGUGGUUUGAAUGUGGAUAAGACCAUUUGGGUUGCCAAGCCUAUUGUUACUAACUUCUUAGGACCCAACGUGGUUGGGGACCAUCGAUCUCAAACUUGA